rnacentral:rRNA from 1 species
ACGCUGGCGGCAGGCCUAACACAUGCAAGUCGAGCGGCAGCACAGGUACUUGUACCGGGUGGCGAGCGGCGGACGGGUGAGUAAUGCCUAGGAAUCUGCCUGGUAGUGGGGGAUAACGCUCGGAAACGGACGCUGAUACCGCAUACGUCCUACGGGAGAAAGCAGGGGACCUUCGGGCCUUGCGCUAUCAGAUGAGCCUAGGUCGGAUUAGCUAGUUGGUGAGGUAAUGGCUCACCAAGGCGACGAUCCGUAACUGGUCUGAGAGGAUGAUCAGUCACACUGGAACUGAGACACGGUCCAGACUCCUACGGGAGGUAGCAGUGGGGAAUAUUGGACAAUGGGCGAAAGCCUGAUCCAGCCAUGCCGCGUGUGUGAAGAAGGUCUUCGGAUUGUAAAGCACUUUAAGUUGGGAGGAAGGGCAGUUACCUAAUACGUAUCUGUUUUGACGUUACCGACAGAAUAAGCACCGGCUAACUCUGUGCCAGCAGCCGCGGUAAUACAGAGGGUGCAAGCGUUAAUCGGAAUUACUGGGCGUAAAGCGCGCGUAGGUGGUUUGUUAAGUUGGAUGUGAAAUCCCCGGGCUCAACCUGGGAACUGCAUUCAAAACUGACAAGCUAGAGUAUGGUAGAGGGUGGUGGAAUUUCCUGUGUAGCGGUGAAAUGCGUAGAUAUAGGAAGGAACACCAGUGGCGAAGGCGACCACCUGGACUGAUACUGACACUGAGGUGCGAAAGCGUGGGGAGCAAAC